GACGAACGCUGGCGGCGUGCUUAACACAUGCAAGUCGAACGGAAAGGCCCUGCUUAUGUGGGGUGCUCGAGUGGCGACCGGGUGAGUAACACGUGAGUAACCUGCCCUUGACUUUGGGAUAACUUAAGGAAACUGGGGCUAAUACCGGAUAGGAGCUCCUGCUGCAUGGUGGGGGUUGGAAAGUUUCGGCGGUUGGGGAUGGACUCGCGGCUUAUCAGCUUGUUGGUGGGGUAGUGGCUUACCAAGGCUUUGACGGGUAGCCGGCCUGAGAGGGUGACCGGCCACAUUGGGACUGAGAUGCGGCCCAGACUACUACGGGAGGCGACGGUGGGGAAUAUUGCACUAUGGGCUGAAGCCUGAUGCAGCAACGCCGCGUGCGGUAUGACGGCCUUCGGGUUGUAUUCCGCUUUCGCCUUUGACGGAGCGUGAGUGACGGUAAUGGGUGAAGAAGCACCGGCUAACUACGUG
rnacentral:rRNA from 1 species